UACGUAGGCGGGAUAAUAAGUCAGUGGUGAAAUCCCACAGCUCAACUGUGGAACUGCCUUUGAUACUGGUUGUCUUGAGUUACAGUGAAGUAGAUAGAAUAUGUAGUGUAGCGGUGAAAUGCAUAGAUAUUACAUAGAAUACCGAUUGCGAAGGCAGUCUACUAACUGUAUACUGACGCUAAUGGACGAAAGCGUGGGGAGCGAACAGGAUUAGAUACCCUGGUAGUCC
rnacentral:rRNA from 1 species